GGGGAAUUAGCUCAUCUGGUAGAGCGUUUCACUGGCAGUGAAAAGGUAAGGGGUUCGACUCCCCUAUUCUCCA
rnacentral:tRNA from 1 species